rnacentral:rRNA from 1 species
CCUACGGGGGGCAGCAGUGGGGAAUAUUGGGCAAUGGGCGCAAGCCUGACCCAGCAACGCCGCGUGAAGGAAGAAGGCUCUCGGGUUGUUAACCUCCUUUCUGAGGGACGAAGAAAGUGACGGUACCUCAGGAAUAAGCCACGGCUAACUACGUGGCAGCAGCCGCGGUAAUACGUAGGUGGCAAGCGUUAUCCGGAUUUAAUGGGUGUAAAGGGCGUGUAGGCGGGAAAGUAAGUCAGAUGUGAAAUCUCAGGGCUCAACCCUGAGCCUGCAUUUGAAACUGUUUUUCUUGAGUGCUGGAGAGGCAAUCGGAAUUCCGGGUGUAGCGGUGAAAUGCGUAGAUAUACGGAAGAACACCAGUGGCGAAGGCGGAUUGCUGGACAGUAACUGACGCUGAGGCGCGAAAGCGUGGGGAGCAAACAGGAUUAGAUACCCUUGUAGUC